AGAGUUUGAUCCUGGCUCAGGAUGAACGCUGGCGGUCUGCUUAACACAUGCAAGUCGAACGGACGUUUUCGGACGUUAGUGGCGGACGGGUGAGUAACGCGUGAGAAUCUGCCUUCAGGUUGGGGACAACAGUUGGAAACGACUGCUAAUACCCAAUGUGCCGAGAGGUGAAAGCUUUAGUGCCUGAGGAUGAGCUCGCGUCUGAUUAGCUAGUUGGAGUGGUAAUGGCACACCAAGGCGACGAUCAGUAGCUGGUCUGAGAGGAUGAUCAGCCACACUGGGACUGAGACACGGCCCAGACUCCUACGGGAGGCAGCAGUGGGGAAUUUUCCGCAAUGGGCGCAAGCCUGACGGAGCAAGACCGCGUGAGGGAGGAAGGCUCUUGGGUUGUAAACCUCUUUUAUCAGGGAAGAAGAUCUGACGGUACCUGAUGAAUCAGCAUCGGCUAACUCCGUGCCAGCAGCCGCGGUAAUACGGAGGAUGCAAGCGUUAUCCGGAUUUAUUGGGCGUAAAGCGUCCGCAGGUGGUUUUUCAAGUCUGCUGUUAAAGCGCGAGGCUUAACCUCGUAACGGCGGUGGAAACUGAGAGACUAGAGUAUGGUAGGGGUAGCGGGAAUUCCCAGUGUAGCGGCGAAAUGCGUAGAUAUUGGGAAGAACACCAGCGGCGAAAGCGCGCUACUGGGCCAUAACUGACACUCAUGGACGAAAGCUAGGGGAGCGAAAGGGAUUAGAUACCCCUGUAGUCCUAGCUGUAAACGAUGGAUACUAGGUGUUGCCCGUAUCGACCCGGGCAGUGCCGUAGCUAACGCGUUAAGUA
rnacentral:rRNA from 1 species